AUUGAACGCUGGCGGCAUGCUUUACACAUGCAAGUCGAACGGUAACAGGCCUUCUGGUGCUGACGAGUGGCGAACGGGUGAGUAAUGCAUCGGAACGUGCCCAGAGGUGGGGGAUAACGCAGCGAAAGCUGUGCUAAUACCGCAUGUGAUCUGAGGAUGAAAGCGGGGGACCAGGCAGCAAUGUUUGGCCUCGCGCCUUUGUAGCGGCCGAUGUCAGAUUAGGUAGUUGGUGGGGUAAAGGCCUACCAAGCCGACGAUCUGUAGCUGGUAUGAGAGGACCACCAGCCACACUGUGACUGAGACACGGCCCAGACUCCUACGGGAGGCAGCAGUGGGGAAUUUUGGACAAUGGGCGAAAGCCUGAUCCAGCAAUGCCGCGUGAGGGAAGAAGGCCUUCGGGUUGUAAACCGCUUUUGUACGGAACGAAAAGGCUCUGGCUAAUACCUGGGGCUGAUGACGGUACCGUAAGAAUAAGCACCGGCUAACUACGUG
rnacentral:rRNA from 1 species